rnacentral:rRNA from 1 species
ACGCUGGCGGCGUGCCUAACACAUGCAAGUCGAGCGGGGUCCAUCCGGUAGCAAUACCGGGGAAGACCUAGCGGCGAACGGGUGAGUAACACGUGAGAAACCUGCCCCGAAGUCUGGGAUAACCCGAGGAAACUCGAGCUAAUACCGGAUGUCUUCUUCUGAUCGCAUGGUCGGAUGAAGAAAGAUUUAUCGCUUCGGGAGGGUCUCGCGGCCUAUCAGCUAGUUGGCGGGGUAACGGCCCACCAAAGGCGUCGACGGGUAGCUGGUCUGAGAGGACGAUCAGCCACACUGGGACUGAGACACGGCCCAGACUCCUACGGGAGGCAGCAGUGGGGAAUAUUGCGCAAUGGGCGAAAGCCUGACGCAGCAACGCCGCGUGCGGGAUGAAGGCCUUCGGGUUGUAAACCGCUUUCAGUGGGGACGAAUUCAGACGGUACCCACAGAAGAAGCCCCGGCCAACUACGUG